CCUACGGGCGGCAGCAGUCGAGAAUCAUUCACAAUGGGGGAAACCCUGAUGGUGCGACGCCGCGUGGGGGAAUGAAGGUCUUCGGAUUGUAAACCCCUGUCAUGUGGGAGCAAAUUAAAAAGAUAGUACCACAAGAGGAAGAGACGGCUAACUCUGUGCCAGCAGCCGCGGUAAUACAGAGGUCUCAAGCGUUGUUCGGAAUCACUGGGCGUAAGGCGUGCGGAGGCUGUUUCGUAAGUCGUGUGUGAAAGGCGCGGGCUCAACCCGCGGACGGCACAUGAUACUGCGAGACUAGAGUAAUGGAGGGGGAACCGGAAUUCUCGGUGUAGCAGUGAAAUGCGUAGAUAUCGAGAGGAACACUCGUGGCGAAGGCGGGUUCCUGGACAUUAACUGACGCUGAGGCACGAAGGCCAGGGGAGCGAAAGGGAUUAGAUACCCGAGUAGUC
rnacentral:rRNA from 1 species